UGGAUCAGUGGCGAACGGGUGAGUAACACGUGAGCAAUCUGCCCCGAACUCUGGGAUAAGCGUUGGAAACGACGUCUAAUACCGGAUACGACGCGCGAAGGCAUCUUCAGCGCGUGGAAAGAACUUCGGUUCGGGAUGAGCUCGCGGCCUAUCAGCUAGUUGGUGAGGUAACGGCUCACCAAGGCGACGACGGGUAGCCGGCCUGAGAGGGUGACCGGCCACACUGGGACUGAGACACGGCCCAGACUCC
rnacentral:rRNA from 1 species